rnacentral:piRNA from 1 species
UAAUUUUUGAUCGGCAGGCGG